AACGAACGCUGGCGGCAGGCUUAACACAUGCAAGUCGAGCGGGGUGAUGGUGCUUGCACUAUCACUUAGCGGCGGACGGGUGAGUAAUGCUUAGGAAUCUGCCUAUUAGUGGGGGACAACAUCUCGAAAGGGAUGCUAAUACCGCAUACGUCCUACGGGAGAAAGCAGGGGAUCACUUGUGACCUUGCGCUAAUAGAUGAGCCUAAGUCGGAUUAGCUAGUUGGUGGGGUAAAGGCCUACCAAGGCGACGAUCUGUAGCGGGUCUGAGAGGAUGAUCCGCCACACUGGGACUGAGACACGGCCCAGACUCCUACGGGAGGCAGCAGUGGGGAAUAUUGGACAAUGGGGGGAACCCUGAUCCAGCCAUGCCGCGUGUGUGAAGAAGGCCUUAUGGUUGUAAAGCACUUUAAGCGAGGAGGAGGCUCUUUUGGUUAAUACCCAAGAUGAGUGGACGUUACUCGCAGAAUAAGCACCGGCUAACUCUGUGCCAGCAGCCGCCGUAA
rnacentral:rRNA from 1 species